UACGGGGGGUGCAAGCGUUAUUCGGAAUUAUUGGGCGUAAAGGGCGCGUAGGCGGUUAUGCAAGUCAGUCGUGAAAGUCCGGGGCUUAACCCCGGAAGUGCGUGUGAUACUGCAUGACUUGAGUAUGGGAGAGGGAAGUGGAAUUCCUGGUGUAGAGGUGAAAUUCGUAGAUAUCAGGAGGAACACCGGUGGCGAAGGCGACUUCCUGGACCAAUACUGACGCUGAGGCGCGAAGGCGUGGGGAG
rnacentral:rRNA from 1 species